rnacentral:rRNA from 1 species
UACAGAGGGGGCAAGCGUUGUUCGGAAUUACUGGGCGUAAAGGGCUCGUAGGCGGCCAACUAAGUCAGACGUGAAAUCCCUCGGCUUAACCGGGGAACUGCAUCUGAUACUGGAUGGCUUGAGUUCGGGAGAGGGAUGCGGAAUUCCAGGUGUAGCGGUGAAAUGCGUAGAUAUCUGGAGGAAUACCGGUGGCGAAGGCGGCAUCCUGGACCGGCAUUGACGCUGAGGAGCGAAAGCCAGGGGAGCAAACGGG